UACGUAGGGAGCGAGCGUUGUCCGGAUUUAUUGGGCGUAAAGAGCGCGUAGGCGGCUCGGUAAGCCGGAUGUGAAACCUCCAAGCUCAACUUGGAGCGGCCAUUCGGAACUGCCGUGGCUAGAGUCUGGUAGGGGAACACGGAAUUCCUGGUGUAGCGGUGAAAUGCUUAGAUAUCAGGAGGAACACCAGUGGCGAAGGCGGUGUUCUGGGCCAGUACUGACGCUGAGGCGCGAAAGCUAGGGGAGCAAACAGG
rnacentral:rRNA from 1 species